CCUGCACAAGCCCUGGUUGCUGCCAGCUGGCAUCCCCAAGGGCUGACAGGAAGCAGAAGGCCUUGGGAAUUCCAGCUUUCAGGCAUGCUGUCCUCCUUUUUCUGGGAUCAAAGUGUGCAAAGCUUGCAAGGAAAUCAACACUAGAGUUGUCUUAAUUACAAUGGAGUACAGAAGACAUGUUUUUGCAGCAGGUGAAGAGGGGCAAGAAAAUGAAGACCCAUCUUCUAAUGAAGCUCCUUUGUGUCCUGCAUUUGCUGCACAUUACAAACUGACAUCAUCAUGCGAUUACUACCUUCCAGCUUUCAUCCUGUAUAAGAUUCUAUUGGGUGACACAAUCUUUAAGAGGUUAGCCUGAAAUAGAUGAGAAGCUCAACCUCUUCUCUGACUUGCUGAAGGUUUUCCUUAUGGCUGACUACUUAUGUGUGUGAUGUGUGGUGUUCUGUGCCUUGCUUCCUUCCUUCCCCAUUCUCUUUUUGCAAGGAGAGGUAGAAGGAAUGGUCUGCCACUGUCCAGAGGUGCUGCUAAUUAUAGACCAAUCUGCCCAGUGAAGAGCCUGCAGGAAAGAGGUGAAGGCCCAGAGCUACAUCUACGCAGGACAUCCACGGAGCAGAAACUUGUGGGAAUACCAUGAAUUGCCCAGAGACACAGUGGGAUUAGUGUGUGUUUGCUUCUUUAGUACUGCCCCUUUAUCACACAAAAACAGUUAUUAUUUGAGCUGCUUUGGGAAUACACUGUAUGCAUUUUCCAUAAGUAUUUUUUGUGAAUUGGCUUUUGUGAAGUCCAGAUAUUUUUUUUACUAAACCCUUUUGAAUACGAAAUAAUUUACAAGUGUCCUCCUUUUUCUUGCCUUGCACAACCAGCUUUAAUUUUGGGACUUUUCCUGGUGGGGUUAUUACAUCUUACAAGAUUAUUUCUGCAAUAUUAUUUUCUCCAUUCUGUAUGAGAGUAUUAUUUUCUUAAUUUCUGUAUGAGAGGAAAUAGCACUGUAGUUUUUAAAAGAGAUAUAUUUGAACAUUCUGUGUUGAACUUUGUGUUCAGCUUGAUGUUUUCUUUAAUGAUAUUGAGUGUAAGCAACAGCUAAAAUGUAAUUUUAUUUAAUUGUAGGGGUUUUGAUUUUUUUCCUCCCUAUUUUGGGGGGAUGGGGUUUGGUUGUUUAGGCAAGUAUAUUUCCAGCUCAAUGAAAUAAAUGUAAAAAGAAAAAAAAAAUCUAAUCCCUU
ensembl:lncRNA